AUUGAACGCUGGCGGUAUGCUUAACACAUGCAAGUCGAACGGAAACGACAAGAGCUUGCUCUUGGGCGUCGAGUGGCGGACGGGUGAGUAACGCGUAGGAAUCUGCCUGGUAGUGGGGGAUAGCCCAGAGAAAUCUGGAUUAAUACCGCAUAAUAUCUAUGGAUUAAAGUGGAGGCUCUUCGGACUUCACGCUACCAGAUGAGCCUGCGUAAGAUUAGCUUGUUGGUGAGGUAAAGGCUCACCAAGGCGACGAUCUUUAGCUGGUCUGAGAGGAUGAUCAGCCACACUGGGACUGAGACACGGCCCAG
rnacentral:rRNA from 1 species